CCUACGGGUGGCUGCAGUGGGGAAUAUUGGACAAUGGGGGCAACCCUGAUCCAGCCAUGCCGCGUGUGUGAAGAAGGCCCUCGGGUUGUAAAGCACUUUCAGUGAGGAAGAACGCCUGGUGGUUAAUACCCAUCAGGAAAGACAUCACUCACAGAAGAAGCACCGGCUAACUCCGUGCCAGCAGCCGCGGUAAUACGGAGGGUGCGAGCGUUAAUCGGAAUUACUGGGCGUAAAGCGCGCGUAGGUGGCUUGAUAAGCCGGUUGUGAAAGCCCCGGGCUCAACCUGGGAACGGCAUCCGGAACUGUCAAGCUAGAGUGCAGGAGAGGAAGGUAGAAUUCCCGGUGUAGCGGUGAAAUGCGUAGAGAUCGGGAGGAAUACCAGUGGCGAAGGCGGCCUUCUGGACUGACACUGACACUGAGGUGCGAAAGCGUGGGUAGCAAACAGGAUUAUAUACCCCUGUAGUC
rnacentral:rRNA from 1 species